rnacentral:rRNA from 1 species
AUUGAACGCUGGCGGCAGGCCUAACACAUGCAAGUCGAGCGAGCGGCGGACGGGUGAGUAAUGCUUGGGAAUUUCCCAGUCUAGGGGGAUAACAGUUGGAAACGACUGCUAAUACCGCAUAUGAUUGGAUUGCCCAGGUGGGAUUAGCUAGUUGGUGAGGUAAUGGCUCACCAAGGCGACGAUCCCUAGCUGGUCUGAGAGGAUGAUCAGCCAACCUGGAACUGAGACAAGGUCCAGACUCGUACGGGAGGCAGCAGUGGGAAAUAUGGCACGAUGGGCGCAAGUCUGAUGCGGCCAUGCCGCGUGUAUGAAGAGGACAUUCGGGUUGUAAAGUACUUGCAGCGGGGAGGCGUUACCCGCAGGAGAAGCACCGGCUAACUCCGUGCCAGCAGCCGCGGUAAUUC